rnacentral:tRNA from 1 species
GAUAGAAAGUACUAUUAUAAGUUUCUUGAUGGGAAACUUGUGUUGUCUUGACAACU